AAUUUAAGAAUCUCUAAAUCUCUGUAGAAGCACAGCUGAUGUUUUUUUCUCAAAUAUUUUCGAUUAUCAUGUUUUUACCUUUAUUUGUUUACAUUUAUAAACAGAAAAUGUGUUUAGAAAAGAUGUUAUGAUUAAUUAGGAAUUUUACUAAAAUUUUCUUGUAAUAUGGCAGUCUACUGUUCGAAUAUUACACAGAUUGUACAAUCUAUUAAAGAAAUUUAUUCAUGUAUUAUAGUAACAUGAAAAGGAAUGCUCAUGUAUUUUUCUAUUUGUCCAUGUGUGUAUGACUGAACUUCACAUAAGUGUCUGACAGAGCAUGCCUGUAGGGUUCUCAAACUAAUUCUAGAUUGCCUGACUUGUAUUACCUGGUAAUAAUAUAAUAUUAUACUUCUUAUGUCGUAAUUUCCAUGUUCUUAAAGUCUAACCUAUAACCCCAGUCUAGUCUACUGAUUUGGAUAUUUUUUAAUAGAACAUCUAAAUGGAUGAAACUUAAUGUCGAGUGCACAUUACAUGUACAUUUUUGUGUACUGAAUGAGGACUUUGGUUGUACCACAGUAAUUGCAGCUACCGUGUCCUAUCUAGAUUUAUCUGUAUUAUGUUCAUGUUCACAUUUUGUUGGGUAAAUUGGAUGCACAUAUUUCACAUUUUUACAAAACAUUCUCUACAAAAUAAAAAGGGUUAUAUUUUGGCACUUUUUUGUGCCGAUUCUGUUGUGUGAAUCUCGUGCAUUUUCAGUGCACGGCUGUUAAUCGGGAAAGAAAGAUUUUUGUGAAAUACAUGUAUAUAAUGAUUAAGGUUCAUAUCAUUGGUUGUUGGCGAUAUGGACUAAUUCAUUUCUAUUCAACAAUGAUAACAAAAAAUUUGAUCAAAUAAAACGUUUCUCUUAAAUU
rnacentral:misc_RNA from 1 species